ACCAAAGCGACGAUCAGUAGCCGGCCUGAGAGGGUGGACGGCCACAUUGGGACUGAGACACGGCCCAGACUCCUACGGGAGGCAGCAGUGGGGAAUAUUGCACAAUGGGGGAAACCCUGAUGCAGCGACGCCGCGUGAGCGAAGAAGUAUCUCGGUAUGUAAAGCUCUUUUAUCAGCAGGGAAGAAAAUGACGGUACCUGACUAAGAAGCACCGGCUAAAUAC
rnacentral:rRNA from 1 species